rnacentral:rRNA from 1 species
GACGAACGCUGGCGGCGUGCCUAAUACAUGCAAUUCGAACGCAGUGGGGACGGGUGAGUAACACGUUUGUAACCUCCCAUCAGAGGGGAUAACACUUGGAAACAGGUGCUAAACCGAUACUGAUGGAUGGACCCGCGUUGCAUUAGCUAGUUUGUGAGGUAACGGCUCACCAAGGCCACGAUGCAUAGCCGAUCUGAGAGGGUGAUCGGCCACGCUGGAACUGAGACACGGCCCAGACUCCUACGGGAGGCAGCAGUAGGGAAUCUUGGGCAAUGGACGAAAGUCUGACCGAGCAACGCCGCGUGGGUGAAGAAGGUUUUCGGAUCGUAAAGCUCUGUUGGUAGAGAGGCGGUAUCUAACCAGAAAGCCACGGCUAACUACGUGCCAGCAGCCGCGGUAAUAC